UUUAGUCACCGAAUCAACGACUAAAAUUGUUUGGUCCCUAAAUGUAAUAUUUUAACGGUUUAAUGUGAAAUCUGAGGUUUCAUGGCAGCGCUUUCUCUGCAAUUGAAAUCUGAGGAAAAUUGUUGUAUCACAGGUUUCGAUGUCGGCUUUCAUGGUGUCCACGAACCCAGGGGCACGUCGGAGGUCGGUGCUCGCUGCCGAGAGGAAAACCUCCACCAGCAUAGAGCUCCUCACCAACGACAUCGUCGCCUCCCCGGUAGUCGCGACUUCCGGCGAAGGUGCCAUGGGCGCCGGGCACGACCUUAGCCACCACAAACCCUAAUACGAAGCUCCAUGAGCGUCGGACACUCAUUUUUGUUCGAUUGGAUAUUGGUGUUUGUUUACACACCUUUUGCAACGCCGAUAUUUUUUUCUUUAUUUUUUUUUUUCGUUUCGUUUUGUAAGUUUGGUUUCGAUGGAAGAACUUUAUACGAUCUCUGACUUUGUAUCGCUGAAUGAUCGUGUAUGCUAUUUUGGAAAUUAGCAUGAUUGUUUAACUGUUCGUAGAUUGUUGUUAUCGUGUGGUAACACUGAUCUAGGCAUGAUUUGGGGCUUUUGAUAAUGAAUUGAUUUUCUGAUA